rnacentral:rRNA from 1 species
UACGAAGGGGGCUAGCGUUGUUCGGAAUUACUGGGCGUAAAGCGCACGUAGGCGGAUUGUUAAGUCGGGGGUGAAAUCCCGGGGCUCAACCCCGGAACUGCCUUCGAUACUGGCGAUCUCGAGUCCGGAAGAGGUUAGUGGAAUUCCCAGUGUAGAGGUGAAAUUCGUAGAUAUUCGCAAGAACACCAGUGGCGAAGGCGGCUCACUGGCCCGGUACUGACGCUGAGGUACGAAAGCGUGGGGAGCAAACAGG